rnacentral:rRNA from 1 species
CAGUUCAGAUUGCAGGCUGCAACUCGCCUGUAUGAAGUCGGAAUUGCUAGUAAUCGCGGAUCAGCAUGCCGCGGUGAAUACGUUCCCGGGCCUUGUACACACCGCCCGUCACACCAUGAGAGCCGGGAACACCCGAAGUCCGUAGUCUAACCGUAAGGAGGACGCGGCCGAAGGUGGGUUUGGUAAUUGGGGUGAAGUCGUAACAAGGUAAC